AUAAGUUCAGACUGUUUAUUGUUUAAAAUAUGAAUUAUUUAGAAUUAGAAUUUACCGCUCAUUCUUCAAUUUGGCCUGCAAUUUGACAGUCUGCUAGAUCCACGCACGCGCUAAGAGCUUGCAAUUUCAUUAUUAGGAGACUUUAGACCUUCUAUAUUCUAGUUGGCGUACAUUUAAGUAAAAUUACUCGAUUCAAACAAGUAAGUGUGCGAGAAGCUGCUGUGUUUAACAGCUCGUCGCGGUGUGAAAUAAUCGAGUGUCAAUAUGUCAGAUGAUACACCAACAACUUUGUAUGUGGGCAAUUUGGACCGUGCUGUGUCAGAAGAUUUAUUAUGUGCUCUGUUUUCGCAUAUCGGCAUCGUUAGAAGUUGCAAGAUCAUCAGAGAGAAACAUACACACGUCCACAUAUGCGCUUACAUGAGUGCAUGCGAAAACAACGAGAUCAGACAGAAGCGCAAACGUCCACAAAUGUAAUUGCGAAAUGUGCGAAAUAUGCGGAUAUGGUAGACGCGUAAAGCAUCAAACGCCGAGGUGGGGCUCGCUGCUACGGGACGGAUUUAUGGACCGUGC
rnacentral:misc_RNA from 1 species